rnacentral:misc_RNA from 1 species
AGUGCUAAUGAAGGCCCCACCACCUGAACGAAGGUAACGGCGAAUACCGUCAAGCAGAGAUAGAGUAGCACUUGGUUCCACAUGUUCAGCUACCUCAAAGCAGGUGAUGACGUCGUAUUCGAGUUGGACUCCACCAAACAUCUCGUCCAUGGUAUCUGGGAAGAUACCAGAUAGGAGGUCAAUCGGGAACUUGCCAGUUCCAAACAUGGCAGGCACCACAAGCUUAUUA